rnacentral:lncRNA from 10 species
AUUUGAGUUUGUCUGAUUUUUUUUCUUCUCAUGAUUAGACUAGGGUUAUGGGUUUUUGGAAAAAAAUCACAAAGAUGAAAUGCCCUUCUUUUUAUAACAUAUCAGUGAGUAAACAAUACUAAGAUGAGUUCUCACUGGUAAUGUUAACUUUGAUAACUCUCUCCACCAUUUACAAAAUACAUUUUUUAAACAUAGAAUUCUCACAUGUUAAGGUUACCAAGAGACCAUCUAAAGACAGUAAGUAACUAGAUUUCUAAAAUUGCAGCAUUUUAAAGCCCUGAACGGGCUUGUUCAAUUGUUCUCAAUCUUCUCAGCCCUAACAUUUCUUUUUAAUAAUAACUAUUUCCUAUUCUUCCUUCAUUCUUCAGAAGUGAAAUUUAUAGAUGGUAUAAUUUAUCUGUACAUGUAGUCAUAGAAGAAUCAAUAUAAUGUCCUAAUUUUAAAUAAACGAGAAAUUAAAGGAACAUAAUUUAUAAUAAAAUAAUUAUUUCAAUAUAUAAGUGUUCAGACACAACAAUUCCAGAAGCCAUAGUGAAGUGGUCAGAUGCUUACACCUAAAUGAAGAACUUCCAUGAAUAAGACAGACACAAAUGCAGACAGAUGUGAGGCUCAAAUACAAUGAGGAACAUUGUCUUUGGUGAGUUGAUUUUCCAAAAUGUUGAACAACUCAUGAGAAAGUUCCAAAGCAAACAAAAUACCAUCUCCCUUGAUUUUCAUGGUGGUUUCAUUCCUGGAAAAAUUCACAGCUCAUUAAAAACAUGCAAAAAUUUGUGUAUUUAAAUGUAAAAUGGAGUUAGGCUCAGAUAAUUAUAACCAGGUUUUUCACCUAUGUGAAUGUCUGCUGGGAUAGCAGAAAGCUGUGUGGACAGAGAACAAUGCUUCAUUGUGGGAGUGUCCUGUGCACUGCAGGUUACACACACAGUCUGGGCUCUAACCUCUCAAUGUCAAUGAUGCCCCUAAUCAGGGAGGGCAAGCAAAAACAAUCAGGGAGGGCAAAAAACAAAAAACAAAAAAACCAAAACAAAAACCUUGAAUUUCCAAGGUAAAGUUUCCCAAAAAAAAGGUAAAGUUUUCAAAAAAAAACCCUUGAAUUUCCAAGGUAAAGUUUCCAAAACAUGGGGGCCAUGCUGCCCAUCAAGACCAGCACUGUUAGAGUUCAGGUCUAAUCACUUCAUCUCACAGUGAAGAACUGGGCUCAGGUCCUAACAGCCAGCACUUUAGGGCAAACAGCCUGGAAGCCAGCACUUUAGGGAAAACAGCUCCUAACCUGCAGGAUCUGGUGUUUGUUGAGCCCUCAAAAAGGGUUCUGGUAACCCUUGGAUUGAUGCAGAAAUGUAGCUUAAAUCAUGCAAUUCAUUUCACACACACACACACACACACACACACACACACACACACACUACCAACACCACCAUGCUUGGAUUGAUUUAGAAAUGUAGGUUAAAUCAGCAAUUCAUGUCAGACACACACACGCGCGCGCACACACACACACACACACUACUAACACCACCACCACCAUCAUCAACAACAUAAUCAUCAACUCAGUUUCUACACAAAAUCCUUCACUUCUUAGUUUUCCCAGUGAAUUAGGAGAACAUUCAAAUCCUUACACUGGCCUAAAAGGCCCUGCACAACUUGGCCCUGGUCUGCCUUCUCCAGCUUUAUUCCCUACCAUUCUCUCCUUGCACAUCACACUUCCACCCUGCUGGUCUUCUCAGUUACUGGCAGGAGGAGUACCCUCCCCUCUGUCUCAGGACUUUGCACUGGCUAUUUCCCCUGCCUGGGCUCUUUUCCUACUCUUUCCCUCGCAAAUUCCUCCUUAUUCUGCAUAGCUUGGCUUGAAAGUCACUUCCUCAGAGAGCCUUUCUCUGAGUCCCAAAUAUGUCUCCUUGUUAGAUGUUUUCAUAGCACUCUGUAUUCCUUCAUCACAUACUUAGCAGAGCUUAUGAUUAAGUAUUUAUUUGUGUAACUCUGGGUUUGAUAUCUGAUGCCUCUACUGGGCUGUGAGCUCCCAAGGAGGCAGGAGCUUCAUCAGUUUUUCUCAUUACUAAUCCCCAUUACGCAGGAGAGUGCCUGGAACAGAGUUGUUUCCAAAUAUUUGCUGAAUCCAUGAAUGAAUGAAUAAUUAGGUUAGCUGCCCAGAAUGACUUUCAGGCUGGCUGGCAGGCUGACACAAUGGGAGAAACACAAUCAUGGUUUUUCAUGAUGAGCAGCAGCAUAAUACCUUGGUUCUGUUUUGCUGUGAAGAGAGAGAGGCAUGCUAUUUGAGACUGUUUAUUUUGGCAUAGUUGUUUCAGUGAGCUUGUUUUUUUCUUUUCUUUCUUUUUUUUUUUUAAAUUUUUUUUCCCAACAGGGUCUCACUCUGUCACCCAGGCUGGAGUACAGUGGCACAAUCACAGCUCACUGCAGCCUCAAACUCUCAGGCUCAAGCUAUUCUUCCACCUCAACCUCUCAAGUAGCUGGGACCACAGGUGUGUGCCACCACAUCCCGCAUAAUUUUUUUUUUUUUUUUUGUAGAGACAGGGUCUUCGUAUAUUUCCAGGCUGGUCUUGAACUCCUAGGAUCAAACCAUCCUCCCUCCUCAUUUUAAAUGAACAUAAAUGGAGCAGAGAAGCCUAGAAGGCACCUGGGUAUUUGAAGUAGUGAAGGCUCCUGCAUCUACCUGGAGCUGGCUUCCCCGCUGGAAGAAACAACGGCUUUGCAAAUUUUAGCUUUAUAGGGCUCACCCUUACAUGUACCCUACUUCAUUUUUUCCUACUGUUACUACUAAUAACACCUUAUCUCUAAGUAGCCUUUGACACUGUGCUGUUUGUUUCAUUCUUUCCCAAAUUUUGGUCUUUGGGUAUCACUUUCAUUAAUUUGGCACAUGACACAUCACCAGUGCUAUUAUUUAUUAACUUUUUUUUUCCUUGAAUACAUCCCACUCUGACACUGAUGCACAUUUUAGCUUCAUCAAAAACAAUAAUAUGCAUGAAUGUCUGAUUAUAUUCAUUUGGGCUUAUCAUAUUCAUUUGGAAAAAAAAUGCUCUUUUUCUGGGCUGUGUUCUUGUGUGAGAGGAACACCAAGGACAACCUCCUUUCUGUCCUCAAACUGUUAAGAAUAUACCAAAGAACAGACAGUUUGAGUAACUUGCCCAAGGUCGCAGGGUUAGUAGAGAUGACAGAACUGAGAUUCAGUGUCUGGCUUCUGCCUCUGUCCUGGACUGUUCCUGUCACACUAACUCAAACCAUUCUUAACUGAGUUCUCUACCCACACCAGGCACUCCAUAACUAUAAACUGUGGUUGGACUAAUGAUGGCUUCCAAAAGCAAACUCUUCUUCAUGCUUUUUCUCUGAGUACAUUAUAUUCUGUGCAAUGCUGCUGGCAUCUUGGGACAGUAGCUGCCUCUUUCCAACUUGUAAUUUUCUGACCCAUCUAUGAGCCAUGUCUCAUUUGUAUUACCAGGAUGCCCCCUGUUUUCAUGAUGAAUGCCAUUUUGACAUACUUGUAGAGACAGGUGAAUCUCCUCAUGGGCGGUACAAUGUAGUUUUCAUGGAUAUCUAAUUUAUCCAUGAUGGGUGAUUUUGAGACUAUCCAAGGUAUCACCAUAUCAGUGUCAUAGAAACCCUUCUGGGAAGCCUUCAAUGGUGGAGGAAGCUCCCUUCCUGAUUUCCUAAUUCUGGAAACCACUGGUCUUUGGGUGAUUCUCUAUCUUCCUGACCAUCAACCUUUGGCAGUGCACUGUGUCUUGAAUAGCUGCAGAGUUGCCAAUCCUGUUCUUAAAUCCAGUUCUCAUUUAGAAUUAAACCACAUACUUGAACACAGAAAUUCCACCAUGACAUGCUACGCCAACUUGAGCUGCUGCUAUAGAUCUUCUUCUUCUUCUUCUCCUCCUCCUCCUCCUCCUCCUUCUUCUUUUUUUUUUUUUUUUGGUUUUCCCAGAGGGAGGCUUGCUCGGUCGCCCAGACUAGAGUGCAAUGGUGCGAUCUCGGCUCACUGCAACCUCUGCCUCCUGGAUUCAAGUGGUUUUCCUGCCUCAGUCUCCCUAGUAGCUGGGAUUAUAGGCA